rnacentral:piRNA from 1 species
UCCUUCUCGGAUUAAAUGGCA